UACGAAGGGGGCUAGCGUUGUUCGGAUUUACUGGGCGUAAAGCGUACGUAGGCGGAUCGAUCAGUCAGGGGUGAAAUCCCAGAGCUCAACUCUGGAACUGCCUUUGAUACUGUCGAUCUGGAGUAUGGAAGAGGUGAGUGGAAUUCCGAGUGUAGAGGUGAAAUUCGUAGAUAUUCGGAGGAACACCAGUGGCGAAGGCGGCUCACUGGUCCAUUACUGACGCUGAGGUGCGAAAGCGUGGGGAGCAAACAGG
rnacentral:rRNA from 1 species